CAGUCGAGCGCGGGAAGCAAACAGAUCUCCUUCGGGAGUGACGUUUGUGGAACGAGCGGCGGACGGGUGAGUAACACGUGGGCAACCUACCUGUAAGACUGGGAUAACUCCGGGAAACCGGGGCUAAUACCGGAUAAUCCUUCUUGCCACAUGGCAAGGAGUCAAAAGGCGGCUUUUAGCUGUCACUUACAGAUGGGCCCGCGGCGCAUUAGCUAGUUGGUGGGGUAAAGGCUCACCAAGGCAACGAUGCGUAGCCGACCUGAGAGGGUGAUCGGCCACACUGGGACUGAGACACGGCCCAGACUCCUACGGGAGGCAGCAGUAGGGAAUCUUCCGCAAUGGACGAAAGUCUGACGGAGCAACGCCGCCUGAGUGAUGAAGGUCUUCGGAUCGUAAAACUCUGUUGUCAGGGAAGAACAAGUAUGGUAGUAACUGACCGUACCUUGACGGUACCUGACCAGAAAGCCCCGGCUAACUACGUGCCAGCAGCCGCGGUAAUACGUAGGGGGCAAGCGUUGUCCGGAAUUAUUGGGCGUAAAGCGCGCGCAGGCGGUCCUUUAAGUCUGAUGUGAAAGCCCACGGCUUAACCGUGGAGGGUCAUUGGAAACUGGAGGACUUGAGUACAGAAGAGGAGAGUGGAAUUCCACGUGUAGCGGUGAAAUGCGUAGAGAUGUGGAGGAACACCAGUGGCGAAGGCGACUCUCUGGUCUGUAACUGACGCUGAGGUGCGAAAGCGUGGGUAGCGAACAGGAUUAGAUACCCUGGUAGUCCACGCCGUAAACGAUGAGUGCUAGGUGUUAGGGGGUUUCCGCCCCUUAGUGCUGCAGUUAACGCAUUAAGCACUCCGCCUGGGGAGUACGGCCGCAAGGCUGAAACUCAAAAGAAUUGACGGGGGCCCGCACAAGCGGUGGAGCAUGUGGUUUAAUUCGAAGCAACGCGAAGAACCUUACCAGGUCUUGACAUCCUCUGACAACUCUAGAGAUAGAGCCUUCCCUUCGGGGACAGAAUGACAGGUGGUGCAUGGUUGUCGUCAGCUCGUGUCGUGAGAUGUUGGGUUAAGUCCCGCAACGAGCGCAACCCUUGAUCUUAGUUGCCAGCAUUAAGUUGGGCACUCUAAGGUGACUGCCGGUGACAAACCGGAAGAAGGUGGGGAUGACGUCAAAUCAUCAUGCCCCUUAUGACCUGGGCUACACACGUGCUACAAUGGAUGGAACAGAGGGCAGCGAAACCGCGAGGUGAAGCAAAUCCCACAAAACCAUUCUCAGUUCGGAUUGUAGGCUGCAAUUCGCCUACAUGAAGCAGGAAUCGCUAGUAAUCGCGGAUCAGAAUGCCGCGGUGAAUACGUUCCCGGGCCUUGUACACACCGCCCGUCACACCACGAGAGUUAGCAACACCCGAAGUCGGUGAGGUAACCAUUUAUGGAGCCA
rnacentral:rRNA from 1 species